GUGGGGAAUAUUGGACAAUGGGCGCAAGCCUGAUCCAGCCAUGCCGCGUGAGUGAUGACGGCCUUAGGGUUGUAAAGCUCUUUCGACGGGGACGAUAAUGACGGUACCCGUAGAAGAAGCCCCGGCUAACUUCGUGCCAGCAGCCGCGGUAAUACGAAGGGGGCAAGCGUUGUUCGGAAUCACUGGGCGUAAAGGGCGCGUAGGCGGACAUUUAAGUCAGGGGUGAAAUCCCGGGGCUCAACCCCGGAACUGCCCUUGAUACUGGGUGUCUUGAGACCGGAAGAGGUAAGUGGAACUGCGAGUGUAGAGGUGAAAUUCGUAGAUAUUCGCAAGAACACCAGUGGCGAAGGCGGCUUACUGGUCCGGAUCUGACGCUGAGGCGCGAAAGCGUGGGGAGCAAACAGGAUUAGAUACCCUAGUAGUCC
rnacentral:rRNA from 1 species